rnacentral:rRNA from 1 species
GACGAACGCUGGCGGCGUGCUUAACACAUGCAAGUCGAACGGAAAGGCCCUGCUUUUGUGGGGUGCUCGAGUGGCGAACGGGUGAGUAACACGUGAGUAACCUGCCCUUGACUUUGGGAUAACUUCAGGAAACUGGGGCUAAUACCGGAUAGGAGCUCCUGCUGCAUGGUGGGGGUUGGAAAGUUUCGGCGGUUGGGGAUGGACUCGCGGCUUAUCAGCUUGUUGGUGGGGUAGUGGCUUACCAAGGCUUUGACGGGUAGCCGGCCUGAGAGGGGGACCGGCCACAUUGGGACUGAGAUACGGCCCAGACUCCUACGGGAGGCAGCAGUGGGGAAUAUUGCACAAUGGGCGGAAGCCUGAUGCAGCAACGCCGCGUGCGGGAUGACGGCCUUCGGGUUGUAAACCGCUUUCGCCUGUGACGAGGCGUGAGUGACGGUAAUGGGUAAAGAAGCACCGGCUAACUACGUG